CAACUGCCUAUUAAGCAUGUUAUGACCACCUGGCAUAGUGAGAAGCAGGAUUCCAGGGUGUAAUUUGAGAAGGCAGGGUAAGAACACAAGACUAUGUCAGUGACUGUCUAAUGUUCCUUUGAUGGAAAUAAAAAUAGUAUCCUGAGUGCUCUGAUUCAGUGGUGCCUGUUCACAUCUAGGACCUGUUGUGAUAUGUCCUCUUGGGCAGAG
rnacentral:lncRNA from 1 species